UGGGGAAUAUUGGACAAUGGACGCAAGUCUGAUCCAGCGACGCCGCGUGGGUGAUGAAGGCCUUCGGGUUGUAAAGCCCUGUGGGCAGGGAAGAAAACGGUCCGGAAUAACAAGACGGAUCCUUGACGGUACCUGCUCAGAAAGCACCGGCUAACUCUGUGCCAGCAGCCGCGGUAAGACAGAGGGUGCAAACGUUGCUCGGAAUUACUGGGCGUAAAGCGCGUGUAGGUGGAUUGGUGUGUCAGAUGUGAAAGCCCUGGGCUCAACCCAGGAACUGCACCUGAAACUACCAGUCUUGAGUGGUGGAGAGGGAAGUGGAAUUCCUGGUGUAGAGGUGAAAUUCGUAGAUAUCAGGAGGAACACCAGUGGCGAAGGCGGCUUCCUGGACACCAACUGACGCUGAGACGCGAAAGCGUGGGGAGCAAACAG
rnacentral:rRNA from 1 species